AAUUCCUUGUCGGGUAAGUUCCGACCUGCACGAAUGGCGUAACGACUUCCCCACUGUCUCCAACACCAACUCAGCGAAAUUGAAUUCUCCGUGAAGAUGCGGAGUACCCGCGGUCAGACGGAAAGACCCCGUGCACCUUUACUACAGCUUCACACUGGUAUUCGUCACGACAUGUGUAGGAUAGGUGGUAGACGUUGAAGCAGGAGCGCCAGCUCUUGUGGAGUCACCCUUGAAAUACCACCCUUGUCGUCAUGGAUAUCUAACCGCGGUACAACAAUAUCCGGGACCGUGUGUGGCGGGUAGUUUGACUGGGGCGGUCGCCUCCCAAAUGGUAACGGAGGCGCGCGAAGGUGGGCUCAGAGCGGUCGGAAAUCGCUCGUUGAGUGCAAUGGCAUAAGCCUGCCUGACUGCGAGACUGACAAGUCGAGCAGAGACGAAAGUCGGUCAUAGUGAUCCGGUGGUCCCGCGUGGAAGGGCCAUCGCUCAACGGAUAAAAGGUACGCCGGGGA
rnacentral:rRNA from 1 species